rnacentral:rRNA from 1 species
AUUGAACGCUGGCGGCAGGCCUAACACAUGCAAGUCGAACGUGUGGCGGACGGGUGUGUAAUGUCGGGGAAACGGCCUGAUGGAGGGGGAUAACUACUGGAAACGGUAGCUAAUACCGCAUAGCGUCGGAUGUGCCGAUCUGGGAUUAGCUUGUUGGUGGGGUAAUGGCGUACCAGGGCGACGAUGCCGAGCUGGUCGGAGGGGAUGAUCAGGCACCCUGCAACUGAGACACGGUCCUGACUCCUACGCGAGGAAGCAGUGGGGAAGUUUGCGCAAUUGGCGCAAGGCUGAUGCAGCCAUGCCGCGUGUAUGCAGGAGGCAUUCGGGUUGUCGAGUACUUUCAGCGGGGAGGCGUUACCCGCAGAAGAAGCCCCGGCUAACUCCGUGCCAGCAGCCGCGGUAAUUC